GACUGUUUGGCGCAAUGGUAGUGCAUUCGUCUCCAGAUCGAAUAGUUGGGCGUUCGAUCCGCUCAUCAUUGA
rfam:Caenorhabditis brenneri strain PB2801 C_brenneri-6.0.1_Cont81.18, whole genome shotgun sequence.